GCCGGGUUAGCUCAGUUGGAAGAGCAAUUCUCUUGUAAAGAAGAUGUCACCGGUACGAAUCCGGUACCCGGCUCCA
rnacentral:tRNA from 1 species